rnacentral:rRNA from 1 species
ACUCAAAUGAAUUGACGGGGGCCCGCACAAGCGGUGGAGCAUGUGGUUUAAUUCGACGCAACGCGAAGAACCUUACCAGCCCUUGACAUGUCCCGUAUGGGGCGGAGAGAUCCGUUCCUUCAGUUCGGCUGGCGGGAACACAGGUGCUGCAUGGCUGUCGUCAGCUCGUGUCGUGAGAUGUUGGGUUAAGUCCCGCAACGAGCGCAACCCCCAUCCUCAGUUGCCAUCAGGUGAUGCUGGGCACUCUGGGGAAACUGCCGGUGACAAGCCGGAGGAAGGCGGGGAUGACGUCAAGUCCUCAUGGCCCUUAUGGGCUGGGCUACACACGUGCUACAAUGGCGGUGACAGAGGGGAGCGAGGCAGCGAUGCCAAGCCAAUCUCAAAAAGCCGUCUCAGUUCGGAUUGCUCUCUGCAACUCGAGAGCAUGAAGUUGGAAUCGCUAGUAAUCGCGGAUCAGCACGCCGCGGUGAAUACGUUCCCGGGCCUUGUACACACCGCCCGU